UUGAUCAACAGGCAGCAGACGGCCCCACCAGUGACACACUUCCUCCAACAAGGUCACACCUACUCUAACAAGGCCACACCUCCAAAUAGUGCCACUCCCUAUGGACCAGGUAUUCAACAAAUGCGGCUGUGGGGGCCACUCCUGUUCAAACCACCACAUCCUGUGAGGCCAGAUUCCAGCCGGCCACCAGCAUAGCACAGGCCCAACUGCUGUCUCCAUUUUCCCAGGAACUGACACAGGCCAAGUACAGAGUAGAUGCUCACCGGAAGUCUGAAUAAGAGGCAUGCUGACUCACAUCUUUGCCCAGGCAGAAAGACAAAGAAAAUAAGCCCAACGAAGUUGGUACAUUUUGUCUAUUGUGUUCAUUGCUAAUUUCCCCGUGGUUUUGUGGAUCCUUGAACAUAGUGAGUACACAGUGUUUGUUAAGGCGAUGAAUGAGUGAAUGGACACUGGCACACACACGGGAUAUGAGGACAGGAGUAACUUCUGUCAUUAUCCAGGAAUUUAUUUAUUUAACCUGGAACCUUGGGUGUGAUGAACAAGUACUUCAGCAUUGGGCUACAUUUGAAGUCCUUAUUUUUUUUAAAGAUUUAUUUAUUAUAUAUACUGUCUGUCUGUAUACUAGAAGAGGGUACCAGAUUUCAUUACAGAUGGUUGAGAGCCACCAUGUGGUUGCUAGGACUUGAACUCAGGACCUCUGGAAGAACAGCCAGUGCUCUUAACCGAUUGAUCCAUGCCCCUGAAUAGGCGAGGCAAACGCUGUAUCGUCUCGCUAGAUCUUUAUGACUUCCAUUCAACACAUCCAGGAUCACUUGAAAUCUACCGAAUAACUAUGAGCACAGCACCUGCCACAGCUUGCCUGUCUGGGCACAUGUGACCAGCCAUGGGGUCAGAGCAUCCAUCUGCUGGUGUCUAAGGAAUCUCUGCUCCGUGUUCGUUAUGCUUCAGCAGUGAGUGAAGCGGACAUCAGGUCUGCCCUGGGGAAUGAGUGCCUGCCUUUUCUGAACCCCAGUGUCUAAGACUCUAAAACAACUCUGAUACCUUCUCGUUUGGGCCUGGAGACAGGACUCAUUGAGAAAAUGAUCAUGAAAGUCACUUGCAACAAGGGAUCUCAGUUCAAGCAGCCAUGAAAGAGCCUGGGACUCUGGUGUGUCCCCUUCCUGUUCCUCCGUCAUUUCAGUCUGUUUCCAGGUUUAUCCCAUCAGACCUUGGAAUUUGGUUUUAUGUCCCUCUCCUCAUCACGUUUAUUGCCUCAUCAAACUGUUAUGAACCUGAAUGUGAUUAUAAUAUUAUUAAUAAUAGUGAUGGUGAUGCCAACUUAAACAUUAAUAAAGAAUAUUUACUAAUUAAAAUAGUAA